CGGGAAUAUCGUGUUUCCGGCACAAGCAAAUACGAGAUCCUCCCUUAAGACGCCUCGAUAGCCCUGCCGAUAUUUUCGAUGGAAAAAGAAGCAAACGACGAAGGGAGGAAGCGAAGAAAAGAAGAACAAAAUUGGUCGACGUCGUGGAUUAAAAAGGUACGCGCGCUUCUGUACGCUACACCUCACGAAGAUUUUCAUUCGGAUGGCUCGAACUUGUCUGUACUUCUCGUUCGCUGCUUCGUUACCGCGAAACAUCCAAAUUUAGAAAGAACGACGAUAAAUUAAUAAUAGGCUGAAAUUAACGAAACACGGUCGCGCGAUGUCCGAAAUUACGCAUGCUGUACGUAGUAUGAUUUGAAGUUUCGAAGGAAGUUUUAAAGAGAAGGUAAAUUGGAAGGAAAGAAAAAGGGGAUGACUGGUGGAUGGAACAGCGAUUAAACGAUUCCUUCGAUUUCGUUUUAUUCGACAUGAAUCUCGGAUGUAUAUAGAAGGCUAAUGAAACGCGUACACGGCUUACUUAGCACUCGGUGAAACGUAUUUUCGAAAUAUCACACUUUCCAUUACGAUUCGUUAAGCCGGUGCUCUUGCAUUAACUAAGCUGACCUGCUAAUUACCGUACCUCCGAUAGUUCGCCCGUUUCCUUUCUGCUCUCGUUUCCCGCCGGCCUCCCGUUUCCUCCGACAUUCCGCCUACUGUUUGAAACGGCCCGAGGCCGCCGGAAACGCGGAAAAAAAGGAGCCGCCACGACGGCUUCAAACCCAGCGCAGCUUCGAACGCAACCAGAGAUGCCGAUCUCGUUGCCGUAAUUUCGUUCUCAUUUUUUUACUAUUUCAUCCUUCGCGUAGUGGGACUGGUGAACGAACGAAAGAUCUUGUAGGAAACGUAGAUCGACGAUUUUGAAUAUUCAUGUUCGUUCGGUUAGUGAUCGUUUUAUUUGUACGUGGCAAAUUGUUUUACGACGAUCUACAGGAUUUUGUGGCAGAUACACGGGCGGCUAUUCAUUUUUCGUUUCUUCGCCUCUUCUUCGGUUUCAUUAAUCAUAAAUGAUUGGAUUACAAACACGAUAAGCGAACGUAUAAACGUAAGUGUAUAAAAUACGCGGCAAAAGAAGAAUCACGAGUUAGAGUCAGUAUGAUCGUAGUAUGAUUAAUUACGUUCGGUCUGCGUGCAAUUACGUUCGUAAACAGCGUAUAUUUCCCCUUUAAACCUAAUCAAUUGUUUUUCAUUAUACACUUCUCCCGUAUAUAACGCAUUUUCGCCGAAAUUAAUACUUUCGCGAGCCAACUAAAAUUCCCGAAAAUGUACCGAAACGCAGUAGCAUAAUCUAUCGCGCGAUAUAAUUUGAUCGAUUUCAUCUAACACCUAAAAUUCGUCUAAUACAAUCAAACUAUCGUCCAGCAAAAUAUAUUUCGCGAGAAACCGUCUCUCCCUGUACGAGCCGACCUAACGUAGGCAAAAAUUCUCGCGUCGCCUCCGAAAGUUUCGUCGUAAAAGGGAAAGAUAAACGUUAGGGAAUCGUGGACGAUGCGAUAGCCGAUGGACGAAAACGUGAACGCGACGAAACACGGGUGUCGAGGGUCGGAAAUCAGGGCUGCUCUCCUUUUGGCGAACAGAAGAAAAGAGUAGAACCGCGCUGGUUUAGUGUGCGGCGAUUUUUGGCGUUCCGGGGCUUUAUCUGAUUAAAGCAACAUAGAAACACGGGGUUACGCGUGUAAGCUUGCCGGCCAUCCAUGGGGAACGGGUCGAACAAAUGAAUAAUGAAAAUAAAACCCACGAUAGUAUCGGUAAGCACCACGGGAUUACAUACGCAUCAGCGCGCCCGCGAUGAACUUACAUUAUGGAGUCCCCCGUAGAAGAGGGAAGAAGGGAGAGAGAGAAAGAGAAAGAGAGAGAGAGAGAGAGAGGCUCAUGCACUUACACGCGUGCAUAGGCGCGUGUUAAGCGCGUACGUUACGCAUUUACGCGCGAACUCCAUGAUAGAAGAGAAAACAGACUUUUUCCAUGGCCACGUUUUACCAAGCCCCUCGGAGAUCUAGCACGGAUUUAAACGGCAAAUCAGGGGUUACAUGGUUACCUAUUGCUGUUACAAAUGGCGCUUUUCCCUCGAGCAAGUUUAUAACGAGGAAAAAUCGGCCGGAUGACGGUCGUAGAGCUUCGAGCAGGAAGCGCGAUAUCGCGUACAUAUUAAUUUCACGUAUAAGCGAUAACGGAAGUUACCAAGUUACGGAGAUUUUAGAUGACGCUGCAUACUGUUCCUUUCUUUUCUUUUUUCUUUUUUUAACUCUUGCAAUAUCGAGUCACACUCGUGGCUUGAUAAAAGUAGAUUUGUUUGUUUUGUUGGCGAUAAAAUUUCAUUUGCGAUGCCUGAAUUUUGUUUCUGUUUUCCGACCGAGCUUUUACGUUUCUGUUUGCUGGACGAAUACAAUGGAAGAGUUCGCGACAGCGACUCUCUGACUGUUUCAAGCAAUACGACACUGCAAUUAUACGGAGAAAAGCUGUCGAAAGAGAACCGUUUGAAAGAUUUCAAAUUACACAGAUACGGCUAUUUCGAAUGUACCUUUCGUCGAUACGAAAAUACUUUGGAAAAAUGCUUCUCGCAAUCACGUGGCUGGUACCUUUGCGAGCCUCGCUUACGGCAUGAAUUUUUUUUUUUUUUUUUAAUUAAAAUUUACAAUCAAUUCUCGCAUUGAGAAUUUUCAGUAAUUUUUCUGGUGUGGCGCAGUGACAUGGCUAAUUAUUUAUAAUAGGUUAAUACUUAUUAUAGAUAAGUAUAAUUUGUAAGUAAGUAUUAUAAAUAAGUAAAUAUUACUUAAUUUAAAUAACUAAUUGAAUCUAGCGGGUAGUGUCUCUUCAGCCUGCGGAUCUAGUCCGACGUAUCGAGUAAUCCAGUAAUUAGGGUGUUUCGGUGUUUGUUGACUCUUCUGCUAUAUCUGUCGCUAUAUUUUGCAAUUUCCUCUUUGAUCGUGGGUAUCUUGAUGCCGCGAUGUAUUGUUUCGUUGGUAACAUACCAAGGUGCAUCUAUUAAGGAUCUUGGCGUUUUCGAUUGGAAGCGUCAAAGUAUCUCGAUGUUGGAGUUACUUGCUGUUCCCCAUAGUUGCAUUUCGUAGGUCCAGACAGGUUUUAUUACGGUCUUGUAGAGGGUAAUUUUAUUCCGUAUGUUUAGUUUGGAGCGUCGACCCGUGAGCCAAUAGAACUUUUUUAAUUUGUCCUUUAGUUGCUUCGUUUUAUCCGAGAUGUGGUACGGUAUAAAUGUCGCGACUCUAAUGGCCGAAUGCCUCCAGCUUUGCCGGAUACUCCGAUUAUGUCAAGGUGUGAAUUUACGAAGCUAGCAAAUAGCUGGUUCCGAGCACAAAGGUAGUCUCCACGGGGGCAAGCCGCUUACGAUCAAUACCUUGAUCCUUCGAUCUCCGCUAGUCUCUCACGCCCUACGCUCGAAAGUGUCCAUUCGACGGCGCACAAUGCCAAAUGGACGGAAUAUGCUUCUUAAAUACCCAACGGGCACUUCUCUGGGACGAGAGGCUGCCCGAAGCUGCGGCAAUUCAGGCCGAGGCACGUUCCAGCCGCGAAAUAAUAUCGCAACGCGAAUCGAAUGGCAAUUGGUCGAGACGCGAUUCAUCGUUCUACGUCAAAUUUUCAUUUUCCUACCUUUCGAUUUCUCUAUCGUGGAAAUAACAGAAGAUUCCUGCUCUUAAAUCUAAACUAACUUACCAGAGGUAUUUACAUAAUCGGAUUUAGAAAUAGACAAAUACACGGAUUUGUCGAAAGAAAGUUUUACCGACUUUAGUUUCUCGAUAAUAAAUCUUACGGAAUUGUUUCGUUGACGUGGAUGAUUAUAAUAUAUCAUAAUCGCUGACAACGAAAUCAUCGUUGCAUGUUACGAGUGACUAUGGGGAUCAAACGUAGACAGUAGAUCAUCCGACGUAAUCCAACAAUAUGGAAAGAUCUGUUAAUAUUCAUAAAUCGUAUAAUAAAGUCAUAGAAAAUGAUAAUGUAAUAUCGUAUUUAGGUUUCAUUCGUUACUUAAUCGGCUGAAAGUUCGAUUAACUGUUAUCACGAUACCUGACUACUUACGCUUUCCUGCUGUUCGUAUUCAAAUUUCGGAAAACGCGAUGUUACGAUAAAAUGCAACAUUCUUCGGAUAAUACGGAACUUUGAAAAUCACAUCGUCUUCGUAUUCUUCAGAUUCUUCCAGAUGAUUCUUACGGGAAACGAUAGAAAAAGAAUAAAUUACCUAAAUAUCAAUGUGACUUAAUAAGAGCUGUCGUGAUGUGAGAUUCGCGUCGUUGUUGUUAAAGCAGAUAAACGCAACGCGCUGCAAAGUUACAGAAGUACAUAUCGUGAUGCGAAAUUUCUCUUCGUGGCUAUUUACGUAUAAAUAAAUAAGCUUUUUUUGCAAGCAGUGUAAGCACAUAGGCGACCAAUCAGGCGACGACAUACACUGGCGCUAUAAAUAGCUUUCAAAAGAGUAUAAUAUUUAAGUAUAUAAUAUUUACCGACCUAAUAUGAAACAGUCAAGGCGAAGAACGACUUGGAUCACAACAGGUUGACACACCACUUUUUCUCGAAAGAGCGGAACGAACGUGUCGAACACCAAAACGAAGAUGGCACACUGUUUCGAAACGUCUGCGAAGAAAGAAAGAGAUCGUAUCGCGACUUCUGCCUCUUCCGUGAGGAAGAAGAAAACCAGAAAACCAAAAAGCAUCGGUCACUAAUCCCGGUACCUGACGAAAUGUCACGUUCGAUACCGCGUGGAGCGCUACCUUGCUGCCUCGAGUUUCUAUUUCCACCUUAAAGGAUCUUACACCUGAACGUUGGGUCAGUAUCCUUCGUAAUUACUUCCAGAUGUGCUGUCGCUCGGCCGUAACGACUUAUGUACGACUGGUACAAGUUCGAUUUUAUUGUCGUAGAAAGACCCAACUAAGCGUUAAGUCCUUGAACGACGACCUAUCGCAGUUCUGUAAAAUUUCUCGGAACCUAGCGAAACCUGACCUUUGUCGCGUGCAAUUAACGCAAGAUUCACUACUACUAGAUAAUAACCACUUGUAACUCGAGUAAUUCGAGGUAAUUCGAGUAGUUCGGUUCUGAUUUUUGCAUCACUCUGCCAGAGACUUCAAUAGUCUCGAAAAACCCUAUUACUUUACGAAACUCUACGGUACGUUUUUCUCUUGGCUUUUGUUCGCGCGUGACAAACGAAGUGCUCAGUAUAAUAUGGAUCGUCAGUGUGGCACUGUCUUCUUCGAUAUCGCUAAUACUUUCAAUAGGUCGAAAUAGUUUAAAUUUCAUCGAGGAUUAUUCGAUCGCAGUGAAGUUCACCGAAACUUAUUCUUGUUAUCGAUGGGAAAUUUAAUAAUUUAUAU